GACGAACGCUGGCGGCGUGCUUAACACAUGCAAGUCGAACGGAAAGGCCCUGCUUUUGUGGGGUGCUCGAGUGGCGAACGGGUGAGUAACACGUGAGUAACCUGCCCUUGACUUUGGGAUAACUUCAGGAAACUGGGGCUAAUACCGGAUAGGAUCUCCUGCUGCAUGGUGGGGGUUGGAAAGUUUCGGCGGUUGGGGAUGGACUCGCGGCUUAUCAGCUUGUUGGUUGGGUAGUGGCUUACCAAGGCUUUGACGGGUAGCCGGCCUGGGAGGGUGACCGGCCACAUUGGGACUGAGAUACGGCCCAGACUCCUACGGGAGGCAGCAGUGGGGAAUAUUGCACAAUGGGCGGAAGCCUGAUGCAGCAACGCCGCGUGCGGGAUGACGGCCUUCGGGUUGUAAACCGCUUUCGCCUGUGACGAAGCGUGAGUGACGGUAAUGGGUAAAGAAGCACCGGCUAACUACGUG
rnacentral:rRNA from 1 species